UGAAGGCGGCUACGCUCUGAACGGGGAGACGACCCAAAACAUAACGUGCAGUGCUAGUGGUGCCACGUCCGCAGAUUGGGUUGGUUCUUUAACGCCUUGUGUGGCCCUACCUUGUCCGGCAAUAGAACUAACGCCAGAGAACCACCUGGUGAUGGCAAACCUUUCCGGUUCCAUGGGGGACAGAAUCACGUUUGAGUGCGAGACCAAUUACACGUUGCCGGGAUUUGUGAACACGAUGGUCGCCGACUGCAUUUGGGAUGGGCUUUCCACCGCGUGGUCUCAGCCGGUGCCCUCGUGCAUAGCCAUAUGCGCAUCGCCCACAAUUCCAGCGGAGAACCACGUCACCGGAAAUGUUUCGGCCGCCAUUGUUGGAGACCGG